UAUUUUGGCAGAUUAGUGUAUUUGAUUUAGAAUCAUUUUAAGUAAAUUUUUUUUACAAGUAAUAU
rnacentral:tRNA from 1 species